rnacentral:lncRNA from 1 species
AGACUUUUGGACAUCAAAGAUUGAUAAUAACUUAAAUCUCCCCAUAUCCGGAGAUUUCGAAGAUUAGGUAGUCUGCCUAAUAUAUCUUCAGUACAGCAUUAAUGAUGCAAUGCUGAAAUGAAAUCGAAAUUUUCCAGAGAGCCGCAAUAUUUUCCUGGAUGUGCAAGAAGUGUGAUUGAGCCAAAAUUUAGAUACCUCAGUUUGCUCAUCUUCCAAAAUUCAUCUGCUGUAUGAUCUAUGUAGCUAAAGGGCAUGUCUAGGGUGUAUAGGUUCAAAAGACUGUUUAAUAACGAUGAAGGCAGGCUUUUCAGGGAAGGGAUAUUCAAGUUCAGAUAUCUCAAAAGAAAUAAAUUUUUUAUUUCGGAAGGAUAUCAGAUGCGAACAAGAGAUCCCAAGUUCAAUACUCUGAGAAAUUUGAACAUUUUACAGAUUUUCUCGCAAUAAGUGGGGUCAAGGUAGUGGCUUCCUGAAGUGAGGUGCAACAAAGAAUAGAGGAACGAGUCAAAAUGAUCUAAAAAUGCAAAAUCAUUCAAAUUUCCAUGAGCGGUGAAGCGUUUCACAUUUUCCCGUAAUUUAACUUCCUGAUCCAUAAUUGGGGAAAUGACAAAUUCCCCCUCGAAAGCCACAGUCAACAACGCAGGACUGCAACGCCCAGGAAUAGAGCAUGUGUUGAUUCUGCCUCUGUCACUUCUCUUCCCUGCAUCAACAAAGCCUCCAUUGAUUAGCUGUUCUAAGUAUCUCUCAGCAGUUGCCUCGUUGUUGACUGGAAUGAAAUCUUCAGCUAUCCACAACUAACAUAAUUGCUUGGUGGAUAUCUCAAAAGUGUGCGGGAAACACAGAUAAGUAGAGACAACAAAGUUUCAAGUAAAAAGGUAACAUACAAUAUGCAACGACUUGAAUCCCUCGGGGUUCAUCAAGUGCUUUCUCUAUAUUUUCUUUCAGUGAGAUGCUUCCAUGAUAUAAGAUGUGGAAAGGCCAUCCUUGGUAUGUAACUCUCAAUGGUCCUCCAGUGGGCACAAAUCAAGCCCAAUGUUCUCUCCAUUUUCGAACUGAAAUGAGGCGACGAUUUCAAUGUCAGAAAAAAUAAUCACAGUGAGUUAAACAAAUAAACCAGUAGGUAAUUUGACUGCAGCAAAACAGCAACUGAAGAAAAUAAACUCGAGGCCUAUAAUACAGUGUCCUUAAAACAGAUUUAUCACCUAUUGAAGUGCUUUAGGUUUCUUGAUAACUGUUUCCCAGGAUACAACGGGCACGAAUUUUCUUUCAAGCACAGACAGAUAAUUCCCGCGAACCACAACAACGGUAAACUCGAUCAGAAAACAAGACAAAAGAAGGAGGAAAGAAAAAUUGUAAGUGUUCUGUGUGCUGGUUUCAGUGUGUGUAAAAACAGAAGAGGAAGGUGCCUUUUUAUACUCAUGUGGGUACGUAACAAUAGCAUAAAAAUUGAAUUUCGGAAUUCAAUAUAUGCAAUUUAAUUGCUGUAACAGCCAUUGAAUUUUAAACAAUUCAAUUCAAAAAUUGAAUUGCAUAACAGCCCAAAAUAAUUGCGAAGCUGUUACAAAUCUUUUGAAUUCAAAAGGUGUGAAACUGUUACAACAAAUUUAAAAGGAAAUAAAAAACGUGCCAUGCGAGCUUGGGCUGACAUUCGCGGGCACACACGAGUUCAACCAAAUCAGUCAUGAAUUCGCCCCCCCCCCCCCCCGGUGCACGCGUGUGGGGAGAGAGCCUCUAUCCUUAAAAUUCUUGUUCAUGCAUGGUUAAGUAUUUAUAUAUAAAUACUAAUCCCUUGGCUUCUUCAAUGAGGAUAACAAAGCCUCCAUUAAUUAGCUGUUCUAAGUAUUUCUCAGUAGUUGCCUCAUUUUUUUCUGGAAUGAAACCUUCGGCUAUCCACAAUUGAUAUAAUUGCUUGGUGGAUAUCUCAAAGUGUACGGGAAACAUAGAUAAGUAGAGACAACAAAGUUUCAAGUAAAAAGGUCACGUACAAUAUGCAACGACUUGAAGCCCCCGGGGUUCAUCAAGUGCUUCCUCUAUAUUUUCUUUUAGUGAUAUGCUUUCAUGAUAUAAGAUGUGGAAAGGCCAUCCUUGGUAUGUAACUCUCAAUGGUCCUCCAGUGGGCACAAAAUCAAGCCCAAUGUUCUCUCCAUUUUCGAACUGAAAUGAGGCGACGAUCUCAAUUCGACUGAGUGUUAUGAAUACUCUACUUCCAUUCUGAUUAUCGGGAAGUAUUUCUCGAAUAACAUCCCAUACUGAUAUUCUCCACACAUUAUCAAGCACAAUCAAAUAAUGCUUGGUCAUUAGAUAUUCAUGAAGAAUAAUUUUUUUCAUUUCCGAACUUUCUUCCAUAAUUUCACUCAACCUACAUGAAGGCAUCACAAACUUAAUAAUGCCGUAUAAUAUUUGGUCAGCAUCAUAUGGUAAAGAAUCUUCAACUCAAGCGUGACAAUCAAAAUAAUGCUUCACAUAGUUGCUGCUGUAAGCCUCUGCAGCGAAAAUUGUCUUGUCCAAUCCAAUGCUAUCAAGUACGGCCACUACCGAAAGUUGAGGCGGUCCUUCUAUCAGUAGAUCUAAUAACUCCUCCAUUCUAUUAUCUAGACUCACCGUGUCUCUAUUCUUAAAAGAUGAGGAUGCAGGAAAAUUACGGGCUUUUGCUUCAAACGAUUUGAGCUCAUCAACGAUUCCGGAGUGGAUGUCCUGAACUUGCUCCAUCUGUUGUUUUAUAUCAAUGAUUUUGCUUUGGAGUCCUAGCAGGGCAUCACAAAUGUCCUUGCUGCAUCCGCUUUGACUCGUCUGUUGAGUGAUGUUGAUAGCAAAUGUGUCAAUCACAUUCUCAGAUACGUAUGAAAAGCAAUGAAUUUUGUCAACGAUAGCCUUAUAAUCUUCUAAUUCUGCAAGAGUUUGACCCUCUUCUGCAUUGACUUGCUACAUAAACCAAGCAGUGUUGUAUCCAGAGUCCCUCAGCUAAGAACCAACGAUUUUAAUCUCAGUGUAAAGGUUCUGAAUAGGUUGUUCAGCAGCAUCAGGCGCCGUGAAUUCUUCACUAGCUAGCACCCUUCUCAGUCUCUCUGAAAAUAGUCCAAGGUUGAUGUCUAUAUCUCCUUCACUCUCAGUAGUCAGUAGCCAACAGCCCUAGCAUGGAAAGAAAAUAAUUAUAAAAAAAAUGGCUAAAAGCUCUCCUUUUACUUCAACAUUAGUCAACAUAAUCAACUGAGGAUGGCACCAAUACCUUAUUCUCUCAAGAAGUUGAAUCAAGUUCAGGUGGCUGUCAAAGUAGAACAGAUUAAGGCAGAGCAGUACUGGAAAAUGAAUCUUAAAACUAAAUGCUGCAGGUGCCGUGGGGAUACUGAUUGAUAAGAGGAAUUAUAUUGAGAAAUUAUUGAUGUACAAUAAUGAUUUUCUGCGAAAACCUGAGGUAUAAUGUACAUGUAUAUAAAAUAUUCUUUAUGCUAGAAGAUAAAAGGGUGUCUUAUAAUUUGUGUUUUAUAUAUAUGUGUAUGAAGAAAGUAAAAUAGGCUAUCAAGACUAGUUUCUUUUUUGCCCUCUCAAAAGACUGAAAGAUUAAAAAUAAUUCCGCUGGGACCAUAAAGCUUGCCUAGAGAGAAAAAGCAUCACCUUAGAAUCUGAUUCAUUGAUGCAUCAAAUGCAUAAUAGUCGCCAUUGUUUAGAGAUUUUCUUUUCAAGCGCUUUACAGACUACAACAGAAUACGUAGGGAUGGCAAAACAUCGGGUCGGGCUCGGGCUUGGCCAAACCCAACCCGACCCGAUCAAUAAAGAACUAAAGCCCGACCCUAAAAAAAGCCCUAUCUAUUUAUAGUUAGGGUCGGGUCGGGUCCGACCCGAAUCGGGCCAACAUCGGGUCGGGCUAAGCCCGACCCUACCAAAACCAUUUUCCAAAUGCUGAAAUGUAGCUGCAAGCCUGCAACUUGCAUUUCCAGAUUGCUUAAGCUGCUCGUGUGCUGUCCAAGGCUCCAAGCUGCUCAUGUGAUGUCCACAUGCCUCAAUUAAUUAACCACCAAAGCACUAAAAUGCUAUGCCGUUUUGAUGCUUAUGGAAAUUCCACAAUGGAAUCAAUUUGAAGGUCACACGAGAAGCACAUGACUAACUUAAACAUGAAUAACAAUAAGGCUGAUAUGCAACCACAAUUCAAUUCUCAAUUCCACAAUCAUUUCCAAAACCAUUUUACACACAAAUCAAUUCCAAAAUCCAACAUGAAAAAUACAUAAUACAAUUAAAUUAAAAACACACAAUGUAAUUUUUCAACAAUUCUAACCAAAUCAAUUCCAUAACCCAACAUAAAAAAAAAAGUCUUAUACAAUAAUACAAAUAAAAACUCAUAAUUCAAUUCCACAACCAAACUUUUUUUUUUUAAAAAGAACUACUCCAACACUUGCGGGCCACUUUCAUCUUCAUCCACAAAUUCCUCUCCAUUAAAAGUUUCACUUUCGAGAAUUUUACCUACAAAAAAAAAAAGAAAAUGAGAAAAUAAUUCAAGUGUAUAAAAUUAUUACUAAACCAAUUAUUUUGUACAUUAUUUAUAUUCAUACCUUUGGAGUUUGCCCAUAGCCAAUGUUGAGUGCACAUAAGCGCUUCCAAUGUCAUAGGAUGAAGUCUACUUCGAUGUGGAGUCAAGACUCUACCUCCAGUGCUAAAUGUCGAUUCAGAGGCAACGGUUUUCACGGGAAUGGCUAAGAUAUCCUUGGCCAUUUGAGCCAAAAUAGGGUAUUUGCCUUGGUUCACAUUCCACCAAUUCAGAAUAUCAAAGUCCGAAGUGGAUUUGAUUAAAGGCUCUUCUAAAUACCUCUCAAGGUCGGACUUCGAUACAAUGGUCUCACUAUUUUGGGUUGCAAAUGCCUCAAACUUCUUUAUAUCAAAAAAUUUACGGCCAGUUCCUAAAUUAAAAUUAAAACGAACAUCGGCCGAAGAAGAUUCACCAACAACCGCAUCACUCACAUUCCCACUUUUAAUUUCAUAAAACUUGACCAAAUCGUUACUUAAAUUGCGCACCCUUUGAAUCUCAUUUGCAGCACCCUCACCAUAAAGUUGUGGAAAAUAAUAAUUAACCAAUUGCAUCUUAAACCUCGGAUCAAGAAUAACUGCCAUCACCAAAAUCCCAUGAAUUUGGGCCCAAUAUUUAUCAAAUUUCAUAAUCAUUUGACCAGCCAUUUCUCUAACCACAGGCACACUAUAAAGAUCCCAUUCAUCCAAAUUAAUCCUCAUUUCACAUAUCAUUGGAAAAAAAAGAUUAGAUGUAGGAUAUUGUGUACCUGAAAAUAACUCUGUCAUAGAGUAAAACGGCAGUAAAUAUUCCAACAUCUUUUCAGCCAUCUCCCAUUCCUCAUCUGUUGGCAAAGAGGUGUAGUGUUUAUCGCGCUGCUGCAGUCUAGAAAAGACUAUUUUAUAUUUCACAGCAACAUCAAGCAUAACAUAUGUAGAAUUCCAUCUAGUUACACAAUCAAGUACCAACUUUUUCUCACACUUAACUUGUAAUUGCCGCGCAGCCAUUUCAAAAGUUUCUACCCUCUUUGGUGUGCCUGUCCAAUAAGCCACACUAUCCUAAUCUUUUUAAUCCACUCCUCAAUCACUUUCAUCCCAUCCUUCACAAUUAGGUUUAAAAUAUGAGCCACACACCUCAUAUGAAAAAAAUUCCCACCCAUUAACAUAGAAUCAGCUGGAAUCAAUCCCAUCAAUCUAUCAACCAUAGCAUCAUUGGUGGAACAAUUAUCUAAAGUUACAACUGAUAUCCUUCUAUCCACAUUCCAAUCCAACAUAAAUUUGAAAAAUGCUUCAGAAAGAAAUUCAACGGUAUGUGGAGCCGGCAAAUAUAUAAACCUAUUCAUUACCAAAAAAUUAAAUUUUAGAAUUAAUUAAAUUGAAUUAAAAAUAAGUAAACAUAAUAUCGAUUUUGCAAAUAUAUGAACCUAUUCAUCACCAAAAAAUUAAAUUUUAGAAUUAAUUAAAUUGAAUUAGAAAUAAGUAAACAUAAUAUCGAUUUUGCAAAUAUAUGAAUCUAUUCAUCACCAAAAAUUUAAAUUUUAGAAUUAAUUAAAUUGAAUUUAAAUAAAUAUCAAGUAACAAGAAAAGUACCUUAAAAUUCGACUUUGUAACCGCCAAGACUUGUCCACAAAAUGUCCCGUAACAACCAUGUAACCCUUCUUUUGAUUACUCGCAGUCCACAUGUCUGUAGUAAUUGCCACCCUACUAUCAUUAUUCUCCAACAAAGCCAUUGCUUUUGCCUUUUCAGCUUGAUACAAUUUAAAAAUCUCACUCUUUAAAGUGUUUCUACUCAAAUUCUUCACCAAAGGGUUGGCAUAAGACAUCAAAUCCCUAAAUGCCUCAUAUUCCACAAAAUUAAGUGGCAGCUCAUGCUUUACAACCAAGGUUGCUAUCUUUUGCCGAGCAACAAUUGGAUCAAAUUCUCUCGUCUCAAUACAACUUGUUCCAUCAUCUUUCCUCAUCACGCUAAGAGUUUUUUGUAAGCAAUCAAGAACUAAGGGAACACCCUUUGCCUUACAUGAUUUUUUCAAAUGUCUAUCCAAAUGUGAGGUUCCAUUAUGACCGGAUGCUACCAACUUAGCUUGACAAUGAUUACAUUUCGCCUUCAAUUCACCAUUAAUGGUUACCUUGGUGAAGUGUCCCCAAACAUAAGAAGGUUCCCGCAUACCUCGCUUUUUUUUAUUACUACUUUGUUCUACCCCAUCAUCAUCACGGGAUGUCUCUUCAACUCCUUCAACUUCUUGGACCCCUUCAAGAGGAAUGUCAUCAUUUGUAUCCUCUUCGCCAACAUGAGAAUUCUCAAGUGAAUUUGACAUAAUGACCUAAAUUAAAUGUGUAACAAGUUGCAAUUAAAAUAUAAUAUUUAUGGUAACUACAUAAUCAUUAUGAAUAUAACAAGUUUUAUUGGCCAUUGUGUGUGUGUGUGUGUGUUUGAAUGUCUAGAUAAAUAAAUUAAAUUGAGCUGUAUGUGAAAUUUAUUAUAUUUAUAACAAUUGACUAGUUCACAUGAUGCAGUAAGAAAAUUUUUGUAAACUAGUUAAAAUUUUAGCUGAAGACGUCUUUGAAUCUUCAAGAAACAAAGGGGUAAGAGCAUGUAAAAGUACCAUGACUUUGAAGUAAAAAUGCAGCAACAAGCCCCAAGUAAAAGAAAAGAAAAUUCAUGAGUACAAAGAAAUCAAUUUACAACAUACAGCGGGACAAAAUUAUUAAAUUCGUGAGUACAAAGAAAUCAAUCCCUAAGCUGGUAUAGCAUCCACUGGACUACUCUUUUUAAUCGUUAAUUAAUAUAUAGUUACUGAUCUAUAACAAAUUCUUUCCAUCACCACAAAAAUAAAAUAAAAAUUCAAUCUAGCGGAAUGCAUCUAAUGACAAAAAUUCAUGUAAUUACAACUUAAAAAGCAGUGAAUUGGAUUAUAAUUACAAUUUAUAAUUACAACUUAAAAAGUUCAACAUGACCGAUCGAGGCUGCAGGCUGCUGGUUUUAUGGGUAAUUACAUAACAAAUUGGUCGGAAAUAAUUACAGAACAAAUUGCCAAUUCAUGAGUUCAAUUCACUCACCUAGCGGCGUCGCGGAUGGUCACAAUGGCGGGUCACGAUGGAGAGAAACGCAACAGUGAGAUGCGACAGCGAGACACGACGGUGAGACAACACAACAGUGAGACGCGGCUGAUUGGCUGGCGUGCGUCGACAGUCACGAUGCUGCUGGCUGAUUCGGUGGCGGGCUGGGUGGCUGGCUUAGUGGCUUAGGGUUUUUGAGAAUUUGAGAGCUGUGCCGUGCCGUACUGUGUUGUGUGAUUGUGUCUUGUGUGAUGCAGCUGUUUGUGAUGUGAGCGUGCAGCGUGUGUGAUUUUUUUUUUUUUUUUGCAAAUAGGGUCGGGUCGGGUCGGGUUGGCUUUAAGCCUGACCCUGACCCUAAAUUUGUUCGGGCCUAAAAAUUGUGGCCCGAACCCGACCCGAAACCCGAAAAUUCAGGCCAAAGCCCUAAUAAUUAGGGUCGGGUCAAUCGGGUUAAAAUUAGGGCCGAGCUAAAUUGCCAAGCCUAAGAAUACGUUAUAGUUUGAAUGGUUAGAUGAUCAUUCCUGUUGAUACUGAAAUCUGCUCGCCCUUUGCCCAACCAGAUCUUUUCACCAACGUUUAUAUGAUCAACAGACAAAAUGUCACAUUCUUUCUAUUUCAACGGUUUCUUGAGUUCCUGGGAUUGGAAUCACCAUUUUUUCUUCUCCUAAGCAUGCGUUCACAAGAAUGGAUCAGAGACGCCGGUGGUUUUAUCGGCGUAAACCCUCCGAUGCUUAAGUUAGCACAAGGUGUUUACGGGAAAACUAUGUAAUUUAGAUUGUGUGAUUUCUUGUAAUGCUCUCAAAAAUUUGUAUAGAAUGUAACUUGGUUUCAAUUUGGUAGAGUUUUUCCUUUUUCUCUCAAUUUUUUCUCCCCAUUUUUCAUCAGUUUCCUGACUUCUUAUAGCUGUUGUCCCACGUUUCUGCGUACUCUUUAUGCCCCCAUUUUUCGGGUGAUGGUAGACCUUCAUGGGUCUUCCACCAUUGGAUUGUGGGUAAACGUGGGAUGCCAUGUCUCUCCCAACGGUUUGGGGCAUAACGGAACUGUCGUGAUUUCCUGAGAUCGUGUGCCCUUUCUUUGGGAGAUGGGUAUCUAGUCGGUAUACGUCUCUGGUCGAUAUAUUUCUCUGGUUGAUGCUCAUCUCUAGUUGGCACAUAUUUAUAUAAGACGUUUUACCAGGACUCUUCUCGUGCCAUUCAGCUGAGGAGAUUCGCUUCGGGGUGAGAGAUGAGGGCACGUUUUAUCAGGACUCUUCUCGUGCCAUUCAGCUGAGGAGAUUCGCCUCGGGGUGGGAGAUGAGGGCAUGGCCGAGCUAGUACGUUUUAUUACUUAACACCAAUCCCAGUUUCUGGUCUUGUGAGUGAAACGAGUUGAGAUUAGAAACUGAUAAUCGGAUCUUACCGACCCCAGGAAAUACCUAUCUGGUCUUCGUGUUAUUAUGAUGGAUUUGAGGUUCCGCCUUUUGUUUAAGGAGAUUUCAGUCUGCGUAUGGGCCUUCGUGAUCGUGUCCAAUAUAUAGCUGGGCUAACAUCUCGUCAGGCCUUUUCUAACGGUCAGUGACGUGUCGCUUCUUGCCUUUUCGUAUUUGAAAUUUAAAACGACGACUUAUCUGUCCUCGAUUUACGGCAAGUGAGCUGGCAUCCGUGUAACUUAAACGCCUCCAUUUCCCCUUUCAUUUUAAAUCCCUAAAUUAAAACUGUCAUUGCGUUUCAUUAUUUGCCAUUCUACCGUAAGCCAACUCCCUCCUUGGACUUUAAUCAUACUUUCAGCGUCAGAAACCUUUGUUUGCUGGGUCCUUUCUCCGUCACAGCAAUGCUACUAGUGCCAGUCUAUUCCAAGUAUCGCCUUUAACUUCUUCUCUGGUUGUUGUUGCUUGGGUUCUGUAUUAUCCCUUUUUGUACCCCUAUACUUGGAUUUACUGUGCUUUCCCUUUUAAGAUUUCGAUAUGUCAAACCGAAAGGGAAAAAUAAUUAUAGAUGAGAGUGACGAAGAGAUAGAGGAUUCAUACCCCAACCUAUUUGGACCCAAUGAUCCCCUACGCUCUUCUCGCAGUGUAGGUCCCUCAUAUCAUAAGGAUACCCUUGAAUACCCUCGCCCCAUGACCAUUUUGCCUUCCCCUAAUUUAGAACCCGUGGGAAAUCGUGGUGGACCAGCGUCGGGCUCUGGUGAGAAUCACAGUUCUGGGGGGCUGGGGUCCUUGAGGAAGUGGGUGAAGGUGAGGAGAGUAGUUCCGAGCCGAGCAGACCCUCUAAGAAGAGGAACCUUGGUCAUAGAAUGGAGGCAGAUGCUUACCCCAUUAAUUAUAUCACCUGUGCUACUACCCACACUGACCUACUCAAGCUUAGAAACCUUUAAAAUAUCCCUGAGGAGGUUCUCCUUGUAAUCCCUGGGAAAAGUGACGUCCCCAGUCGGCCUCCCAAGGGGUAUGUGACGAUGCAUCUAGAAAGUUUCAAGCUAGGGGCUCGGUUGCCCCUUCAGCUUUAUUUUGCCAGGAUAUUGGGUGGCAUGCAUCUGGCUCCAGGUCAGCUUCACCCGAACGUGUGGAGGGUUCUUUCAGCCUUGUAUGUGCUAUGGGAAAGGUGUGGACUCGGGGAGCCUUCCCUUGUGGAAGUAAAGCACUUGUAUCAACUGAGGAGCAGCCCAAAAGAGGCUGGCUGGUACUACUUCAUGUCGAGCUCUGCAAAGAGGAAGCCUAUAAGCUAAAAUGUCGACCUCAACCGUAGGCCUUACAAAUCUAAAGUGUCGACCUCAGUUGUAGAUCUUACCAAACUAAAAUGUCGACCUCGACCGUAGAGCUCACAAAGCAAGUGUCAACCUCAACCAUAGGCUUUACAAAACUAAAAUGUCGACCUCAGUUGUAGAUCCUACCAAACUAAAAUGUCAACCUCAACCGUAGGCUUUACAAAACUAAAAUGUCGACCUCAAAUGUAGAGCUCACAAAGCAAAAGUGUCAACCUCAACCAUAAAUCUUACUAAGCUAAAAUGUUGACCUCAGUUUUAGAUCCUACCAAGCUAAAAUGUCAACCUCAACCGUAAAGCUCACAAAGCAACUAUCGACCUCAACCGUAGGCUUUGCAAAACUAAAAUGUCGACCUCAAAUGUAGAUCUUACAAAGCAAGUGUGGACUUCAACCGUAGGCUUUACAAAACUAAAAUGUCGACCUCAAUUGUAGAGCUCACAACGCAAAAGUGUCGACCUCAAUUGUAGACCUUACAAAACUAAAUUGUCGACCUCAACCAUAGGCCUUACAAAUCUAAAGUGUCAACCUUAAUAAAUUGAAAAUUGUAGAACUUAAAUGUUAUGGCUAUGGUCGACCUCAACAAGUUUUCACGUUGGACCUCAACAAGGCCAAAAUGUUGAUCUCAAUCUCAAUAAGCUUGGAUAAAUUUUUCAUGUUCGACCUCAACAAGGCCUAAAUGUCGAAACUCAAUCUCAAUAAGAUUUGAUAAAAAAUUUCACGUUGGACCUCAAUAAGGCCAAAAUGUCUAUCUCAUUCUCAAUAAGAUUAGAUAAAUUUUCACAUUCAGCCUCAACAAGGCCUAAAUUUCGAUCUCAAUCUCAAUAAGAUUUGAUAAAAAAAUUUUCGUUGGACCUCAAUAAGGCCCAAAUAUGCCGAUCUCAAAUAAGACCGGUCACAAGUAGGUAAGAAAUAGAGUUGCACUUCUGAAUAACCUCAUUGAUAUUAAUAUGGCAGAAAUUAAAGAAUUGAACACAUAACGAAUUGAAAUAACAAAGAAACAAACUAUCAUAACAUAUUUAAAGAAAACAAACAAACAAGAACAUCAUAAAUAAGAUUGGCCUACUGAUAGUAUUUUCGUAGGUGCUCUGCAUUCAAUGCCUUGCCGAUGACCCUGCCAUCCGGAUAACCUAACUUAUAUGUGCCAUUACCAAAUGAAUGUAGUACUUUGUAUAGUCCUUACCAGCUCGGCCCCAGAACUUCAUCAGCUGGCUUUUUAGUUGAUUGAUUGACUUUGCGGAGCACCAGGUCCCCCUCCUGAAAUUGUUGUAGCCUGACAUUCUUGUUGUAGAACUUAGCCACUUUUUACUGGUAAAUUACUGCUCGACCUCUUGCCGUCUUUCUCUUCUCAUCAAACAAAUCUAAAUCCAACAACAUAUGUUCCCUGUUUACUAUCUCAUCAUAAUAUUUUGUGCGGUGUGUCUCCAUGCCAACCUCAGUUGGGAUUACUGCCUCAUGUCCGAAAGCAAGCAAGAAUGGAGUCUCCUCCGUUAAAGUCUUCACGGUCAUUCUAUAGGCCCACAGUACUCCUGGAAGCUCAUCCACCCAAGCUCCCUUCUUCUCACCCAACCUUUUCUUCAACAAUUGCUUUAUAGUUUUGUUCGUCGCUUCCACUUCUCUGUUUGCCUUCGGAUGAGUAGGUGAGCUAAAUCAAAGUUCAAUAUCAAGCUGACCACAAAACUUCUUGAAAUUCUCAUUAUUGAAUUGGGUUCCAUUAUCAGUGAUAAUAGCUUGUGGUAGGCCAUUUUUGCAAAUCAUAUUCCUCCAUAUGAAAUAUGUUGUGCGCUUCUCGGUUAUCUUUUGUAAUUGUUCAACUUCAAUCCACUUAGUAAAAUAAUCAAUGGCUACCACCGCGUAUUUCAUUUGGCCUCUCUCGGUUGGCAUUGGUCUGAUAAGAUCCACCCCCCAUUGUGCAAAUGGCCAAGUGCUCCCCAUUGUCAUCAUGUUUUCUGGUGGUCGUCUUACAAUUAUGGCGAACUUUUGGCAUUCAUCACAUCUCUGAACUAACUCUUGUGCAUCUUCAUGCAUGGUCGGCCAAAAAUAACCAUACCUUAUUAUUUUAUGGGCCAAUGCCCUACCUCCGCUAUGAUUUCCAUAAAUUCCCUCGUGCACCUCUCUCAUCACAUUGUUGGCAUCAGCUGAGCCCAAACAUCACAGGUAAGGUAAAGUGUAACUUCUCUUAUAAAGCACACCUUCGAUAAUGGUGCAUCGUGUUGCCUGGCAUCGCAGCCUUCUUACCUCUGCUUUAUCUUGAGGUUGUUCCCCAAAUUCAAUAUACCUCAUGAUAGGCACCAUCUAGUUCUUCUCAUCUUUUACCAUACAAACUUUCAUUUUGGAAUCAGCUAUACAUGGCUUUGAAACUGACUCCAAUAGAAUUCCUCGUGGGAACUUUGGGCAUUCUAUAGCUGCUAGUCUUGCUAUAUAAUCUGUUCGGUAAUUCUUUCCCCUCAGAACUUGCUCCAUUGUAGCGUGAUCAAAACUACCCCAUAGCUACAGUGCUUUGCUCAGAUACUUGGACAUGUUCUCACUUUUGGCUUGAAAUGUCUCAUUCAGGUAGUUCACUACCAGUUGAGAGUCAAUCUUCACCUUCAAAUGUCGAACUCCCAAUGCUCUUGCUAAUUUUAGACCCGCAAUGAGAGCUUCGCAUUCUGCUUCAUUGUUUGUAGGAUGUAAUUCAUACUUGAGAGCGUAGCAUACUUCUUCCUAGUCGGGCGAAACAAGAACAAUUCCCCCGCCUGACCCUUCUGGGUUUGCAGCUCCACCUACAUUAAGCUCCCAUACAUCAUUAUUCUUCUCUGCCUCUUUAAUCUCCUGCUCGGCAUCCAUCUCUUCACUCUCUUCACUGUAAUCAUUAAUGAAGUUGACCAAAGUUUGUGCUUUAAUUGUUGACCUCGAUCGGUAACUGAUGUCGAAUUCACUUAGUUCUACCGACUACUUAACUAGUCUUCCUGAAAUGUCCGGUUUGUGCAAAAUUUGUCUCAAAGGUUGAUUAGUGACUACCACGAUCUCAUGAGCUUGAAAAUAUGGCCUCACCUUUCUUGCGGCUACAACUAAAGCCAUCACCCACUUUUCUACAAUAUGAUAUCUUACUUCUACCCCUGUAAGAGAUCUGCUCAUGUAGUAUACAGGUCGUUGUACUUCAUCUUUUUCUUUUACCAUGACUGAGCUAGUUGAAUAAUUUGAGACCACCAAGUAGAUCAAGAAAACAUCACCCACUAAGGGCUUCGCCAAAGUGGGUACGUUGGCCAAAUACGCCUUUAAAUGUUAAAAUGUUGUCUCACAUUCUUCCGACCACCUCAAUCUUUUUCCUUUCUUUAUCAAUUUAAAAAACAAAUGGCAUUUAUCUGAUGAUUUCAAAAUGAACCUACUCAGCGCGGUAACUUUUCCAGCUAAGCUCUGAACAUCUUUACGAUUCUUCGGCGACCUCAUCUUGAGGAUGACCUCUACUUUUUCCAGAUUAGCUUCUAUCCCCUUUUGACUAACUAGGAAGCCCAAAAAUUUCCUUGAUUCUACUUCAAAGACACACUUUGCCGGAAUCAACUUCAUCUGAUUCUUUCGUAGCACUUCAAACGUCUCACGCAAAUGCGUUGUAUGUUUGACUGGCUCAACAGACUUGGUUAUCAUGUCAUCUACAUAUACCUCCAUCGUUUUACCAAUCAAGGGCUUGAAAAACUUGUUUACCAAUAUUUGAUAAGUAGCUCCAGCAUUUUUUAAUCCGAAUGGCAUCACAUGGUAGCAAUACAAUCCUUGAUCAGUCACAAAAGCUGUCUUUUCUUCAUCUGCUGUGGACAUACGAGUCUGGUUGUAUCCUAAGAAUGCAUCCAUAAAACUCAUCAAGUCAUGCCCGACUGUUGAAUCCACUAACUAAUCAAUCUUUGAGAGAAGGAAACUAUUUUGAGGACAAACUUUGUUGAGGUCGGUAAAGUCCACACACAUCCUCCAUUUUCCAUUCGCCUUUUUAACCAUUACCACAUUCGAAACCCAUUCUAGAUAGUUCACUUCCCUUAUAAAUCCCACUUUCAACAAUUUAUCUACCUCAUCAUGGAUGGCCGCAUACCUUUCCUGGUUGAACAUUCUUCUUUUCUGCUUCACUGGCUUAUGUUUUUUUAUCUAUAGCUAACUGGUGACACAUGAUUCGUAGGUCUAUUCCCGGCAUAUCUUCAUGUCUCUAAGCAAAUAUGUCAUUAUACUCCACUAAUAAAUUCUGAAGCUCAUUGGAAAUGUCAUCUGUUAUCUUUGUUCCCACUCUUACUACUCUGCUUAGAUCAUCCUCACUUACUGGCACUUGUUUCAUUUCUUCAUUAGGUUGCUGUUGGCAUAACCUAUUUUCAGCUCGUGGAUCAAUACUUGUGAUCUGUAUGGAUUCUCUCGCAAUUGUAGUGUAACAGCUUCGAGCCACUUGUUGUUGGCCCCUCAUCACUCCAACUCCACCUUGAACUCUAAACUUCACACAUUGCAUAUGAGUUGAGCUCACUGCUCCUGCUAUCCUAUUGAACGGUUUGCCCAAAAUAACUUGAUAAGGGCUUGGCUCAUCAACUACCAAUCAUGUCACCAUCAUUGUCUUUAGUAACCUCUUAUCUUUUAUUGCAGCAUAUAUUUCUGCUCUGCUCGUGUUCAGUGGUGUGUAUCUUCCACUCUGUUCUAAUAAAUUCACCCCAUUAGCAGGUCUCGAUCCUCUCCGGUCUACAGGUGGUGGCAACCUAUUGUAAUCUCUUACUUGGUUCUCCCGUUGGUUCCUCAUAUAAUUAUUUCCUCCAUCUCGGCCUCUUCCUACUAAUGAGAUUCCUCUUCUUUCACGUUUUCCUUCCCAAUUUCGACCCGACCUUUCUAGUUGUCUAUAAUUAAACAACCCUUUGUCGUAAUGACUCCUAUCAUCUGUGUUCAUCCUCGAGCUAUACCCAAAGUUAUCUCCUCUCCUUCUCAGGUCUCCCCUUCUCACCGAACCCUCUGUCUGCAUUUCCAUUCUCCUAUUUUCUUCCUCUGCAUCUUCAAUUUUCAUAUCCAAUUUUUCUUGGUCGUGCGCCUUAGUAUAUGUUGUUAUCCUCUUACUAUAUAAGCUAUUCCACAAUCGAUUGAUUCUCAACCCCUUCUUUAAUCCCUCUAGAGCAUCCGGGUGAUCAAAGGCCCCUAGAUCGGUAGCCUCCUUAUGAUACCUGGUCACAAAACUCCUCAAACUUUCAAAUUCUCGUUGGACCAAUUUUUUCAAUCUGCUCGUAUCUUGCUCUGGUAUGCAUGAACCUCUAAAACGCACAACGAAAAGCUCACAUAACUCCUUGAAAUUUUCUAUGCUUCCCUUCUUUAAUCUUCGGUACCACUCCCGUGCUUGUCCUUCUAAGGUUAAAGGAAAAACACAACACCUUUGAAAAUUAUUCAAACCUUGGAUCCCGUUCAUCUUAUUAAACUUCUCCACGUGAUGAUUCAGGUCAGUUUUUCCUUCAUACACCAAGGCUGGAACCACAUACUUGGAUGGCAAAGUUACCACCAUCACUUUACGUACCAAGAGGGACUCGUCAUCAAGUAACAACCUUCCUAUUACUUUCUUGCCCUCUGUUUUCACCUCUAAUGCCUCUAGUGUUUUUUGAAAUUGCAGCAUUCGCUGCUCAAGCUCAUUUGCCUGGUGGGCGUCUCUCAACUCUUCCAUCUCCCUUUCUUGAUUCAAGUCAUUGAUUUUCCAUCUCAACUCAUUCACUUGUUCUCCUACACUUCUAUUCUCUUGUCGUACCCCAACUUAUGGUAGUCCCUUUCCGCUCUGCUGUUCACCACCAAGCUCUUCCAUCUCUCAUGUUCUACUACUCUCUAGGUCACUAGCUCGAACUUGAGCACCUCUGACUUGGGCAUCAACCAACCCCCUGAUCAUCUCCUCAAAUUUUGCCAUGUGCCUCUCGAUCCCUUCUCUCCAUCUCUUAUCUGUCGUGGCAUUCAUUUCCUCUGCCAAUUGGCGCAAGGUCUACCUAUUUCCAUCAUUAUCAUCCAUUGUUGUUUCGUAAUCUGAUAGCCUUCUCCUUCUAAAUCUUCAAACGUAUGGCUUUUCGUACCUUUCCUCACAGACGGCGCCAAGAUGUUGAUGCUGAAAAACGACCUCAACAGCUGAAUUUGUUUUCUUUUGGGGAAUUACAGUGCGAAUCCAAGCUCAAACGUCGGUCUGAACCCAGCUUUAUAUUCCUGACAACCAGAAAACACGGUUAGGAUACGCCGGUGGGGUCCCGGCGUAGACCCUCCGAUGCUUAAGUCAGAAAUUGUGUAUAAGAAAAAGGUAAAUGAGAAGGGAGAAUUGUGAAAAGCGAAAAUUAAGGAAUUUUUUCGGUAGAGAAAACUAAAAAUCUUGUCGGGAAUCCUAAGACUUUUAGAGAGGUGACUUAUAGAAUUUUUGGUUCAUUUUUCUAACCCCUUCCUCAGUUGCCCCUUUCAGCUUAAAUAGGCCCUUGGUCGUGGGUGGUUACCACCUUUAACUUCUGCCCACUGUCUUCAGCAGUUGCACGUGGUCAUCAGUUGGAGACGGUUUAAAUGGAUCGUGGCACACAACUUUUCGAGAAACUAGGCCACGUUAUCUCAACCGAUAGCUUUCUAUGUCAAGCUAAUUCUCGGGUCGGACAAAUAAAUUUCGAGGUCGGAUUUCUUCACUUUCAGAUCGGACCGAUGAAUUUCCUAGUUGCUCAUAUAGGCUUAAGGUUGUAUUCUUAAAUAAGGUCAUUUAUAUAAAUCUCAGGUCGUACUUGUAAAUCAGGCCGCCAACAUAGGCUCCAGGUUGUACUUACGAGGUUAGCUCGACGACAAUGAGUUCUGAGUAGAUUGGGGUCGACUAUAUUUCUAAACAUUACUAGAAAAAUCCAACCCGAACAAUGUUGACUCUUUCUAGAGGUUAUCAGAAAAAUCCAACCCGAACAUUCAUAAAUUAUUAAUCUAAACCUGCUGGUUUUGAUCCAAUUUCUUCUAUGGUUUUACUUGUUUGUUUUAGAGCUAAGUACAAGAUCAUCCAUUGAUCUUGUCUCCAUUGGUCUUGAUUGAUCUUGGGGUUUCAUUUGAUCUAUGAAACCUUGGAUUGUUUCAAAUUUUCUUCUCUGUUUCAUUGAUGAAUCCCGAUGGCUAUACAAAAUCGUCUUUCCUCUACUGCAAGCAGGGGCUUUGGGGCGACUGCAAGGAACUGGGAUGAUGGUACGUGUUCAAGCGUGCAAAUUUGCAGAGAAUGAAUUGAGCAAGUGUUGAUUGUGCCUCCAGCACUUCUCAUUUUUGCUCCAGCAAAACUCCAUGACUAGUUGUUCUAAGAACUUCUCAGCAGUUGACUCAUUAUUGUUUGGACUGAAACCUUCAGCUACCCACAAUUGAUACAAUUAAAGUUUCAAGAAAAAAAAUAAUGUGAAAUGGUAUUAAAUCCUCUUACAAUUUGAACUUAUAUGGGUUUUGAAGAAUCUUAUGAUAUAUGUGUAUUUUUAUUUAUAUACAAUCAAGAUUUAUUCAUUAUUUUAUUUCAUAUAAUAACACAUAAUUACAUAAUUGUAGUAGCUCAGAUCGGUAUAGAAUCCUAAAAUGUGGAAUAUGCAAACAUUUGAUACUCACUAGAGAUAUGCCAAGUAUCUAGCCAAUUCUUUUCUAAUGACACAAUUCCAUGGUAGAAGAUGAGAAAAGGCCGUCGGUAACUUUUAGUGGUACUCCUGCAGGCACUAACUUAAUCCCAGUGUUCUCUCCAUUUUUCAGUUGGAACGAUGUGAGCAAGUCUAUUUGAGAAAGCUAACAGUCUAAUUCAAUAAUGGGCUGAAGAUCUUUUUCUAAUUCUCCAUCAGUUUUGAUCUUUUUCAGCAUUUGAUCGCAGCAUAAUCCAAGUUGUGUUGUUUCCACAAGCACUCAGCAAAGAAGUAACGAUUUCUUAUCUCUGCGUGAAGGUUUUGAAUAUGUUGUUUAGCAACCUCGAGCAACGUGACUCCGUCCCUUCCCGUCUCAUCACGCGGUAGUCCUAGCAUGCAAAGUAAUUAAAAGACAUCAUGAUAAAAAAAUAAAAAAAUAAAUCUUUAGAUCUCUUGAUGAAUAAUGAUAGAGGAGCAACUAUCUUGUAUAAAUAAAUUUGUACAGACUGAUGUGAUAUGAAAAGAUUAAUUGUAUAAAAAUAACUUUAGCUGUUGAUGAAACUCAACUCCGAUUGACACACUAUGAGUGAUAUCUAAUUCUCUAACUAAUCCAGCAGGAAGUUGCUAUUCAAAAAAUUGAAUAAAGAUUGGUGACCAAUCAUUAUGUAAAAGGAAUAGAAAGAAAAAUUUUAUAAAAUGCAAAUUAAUUAAUGUUUAGCUUUUAGGAAAGGAGGUUAGUGCAACUUGGAAAGAUUCUAUCUAGAAACCAUCAUUUUACGAAUUAACCUGUUUGUCAAUGCAUUUCUAAAUGGAAGAUAGUUGGUCCUGGAAAAUGAGCCAAAUUGUGCUUGUGCUCAAAAUAACAUUUGCUAAAUGCUAAUGUAAUUGCUACCGAAACGCUAGCUUUCAUUUUUUUUUCUUUCUUUUUAUCUGAUUUUUCAUCAUAUGAAACGUGAGAGUGAAAUCAAAACUUGUGAAUAAGAUUCAAACAUGUACAUAUAGUGGAUCUAACAAAAUAAUGAAAUGGAAUUAUUUUGUCGAUAAUUCAAAUAAUAAAGCACCUAUUUUUUCUUAGAAUAAUCACAAACUUCAAUAUGCCGAUGAUAUAUAUCUUAUUGAGAUUAAAAACAACACAAGCAACCUAUUACGUGAAAGGAAUAGAAAAAAAAAAAAGGAUGUUGAAUUUUAUUCAACGUGGGUAUUAAUGGAUGAAUGAUUUUGGUAGAAUUGAAGUUUUUUUUUUUUAAUGCAAAGGCUAUAAGGAUCAUUUUUAAUGCAAACGGGGAUUUCUCUGCUGCAAAAGACGGCUUUGGUAUGAUUGUAAGGAAUUGAGAGUGAGCAGCACAUCCUGCGUGCCAUCAAAUUCUUUGCACUACAGGCACCCUCUGCAUGCUGUGGAGGGAAAAAUAUGAAAACCAUUACAACUGCUCUUCGUUCUCUUAAUCCAUUGGGGCUGCUAAUCAAUCAAUAGAGAAAGAAUUCAGUCAUCAAUUUUGACAAAGCUUCCAAAACGUACAACACUAGAGAUAAAAUCUUCCACUUUCAGAACUUUACUGGUUAAAUCUUCUGCUCCAAAUCACCAAGGAUUAGUGCUGGUUUUCGAUUUUACAUGGGCUGUUGGACAACCUAAAUUGAUAAGGGCUUAAUCUCCAAAUAUCUGAAGAAUAUGAAGAUUAGGCAAUAUGCUCCAGUUUCUUUUUGUUGCGUUUAAUCCUCUAACAGUACCAAGAUCAAACACCCUAGACCAUCUUUGAUUUGAUGUAUGAAGACUCAUUCUCAGAAAUCCGAACUAAAAAUUGAAUCAAAGUGCCUACAUCCAGUGAAGAACAAGGAUACAAGUUGUCAAGCUUUCACUAUUUCACAAAUCAAGGUUACCAGGAUGUAGAGCUUGUUACAGAGAACAAGAAUAUACAACUUUUUAUUUCAACUCUCUCUCUCUCUCUCUCUCCAUAGCUUUGAUGAGAUUUGAGAAGAUGGCCCAUCAACCAGCCUUAUAAACUACGAUAAAGGCUAUCUCUAACAAUCCUUGAAUUUUCCUGCACUUAUUUAACUAACCCCAACUCAAUUCUGACCAGCACUCUGACCCUUAUUAUGACCGACACGUCGGUGAAAUUCCAAAAAACCGAACAACAAUGUCGUUCUGCCAGUGUUGACAUGAUGAGAUGAGAUCACAUCACAAAUACUUUUCUUCUAACUGAAGUACUAAGCUUGAAGUUGAACUGUACCGCUACUUAAAAACUAGAGGAAGAAAUAAAAUAAAAAUAAAAACAAUAACAAUAACAUAUAUCAAUUUGAAUGUUGACAAAUUGAAUACACACAAGUGAAACUGAAAAUAGAAAGUAAAACAAUUAAUCAGACUUUUGCACAAUAUAUUAAUCCGAACAUGACAUUAUUACUUUUAGCAAGCAAAUCCUUGAAAACAAAGAAACCAAACAAAGUGUGGACAACACAGCAGCAGUGAACACUGAAAGGAUGAAGGCUGGAUUCUGGUUGAAAUUGAAACUUUGGCUGCAGUGCAGUUAAGAUAGUUUCUGCUCUGCUUUUACCUACACAUACAACUAAUUGAAGAUCGCAUCAUACAGUUUUUAAUGAAUGGUGUCAGCAUUAGGAACUGUGAUGGACACAUCGAGUUUAUGUUAAGAAUGUAGAAAACACUUUAUAGUACGAUUAUAGUUUAGGCAUUUGCGCACUAUCAAAUCUGUUGUAGAGAAGAAAACAUUUAUAUGAAAUUAGAUCAAUAAUUAAAGGUUGAAGUUAUUGGAGAAGAAGAUAAAACUUACAUCAAAUUCAAUCGGGGCUAAUCAAAUUCCGUAAGGAUAUAGCCGAACACCAUACUGCUCCUUAUCCUCGAAUUCCCGUAGCUUUGUCUCAGCUCCGGCUGCGGCCACCAACACUCGAAAUUGUUUAAGCUCUUUAUGCCCCAGAGCUGUUCAGGAAACAUUUUCAAGUAAGCACAAGGGUUGAUAAUCAAGCAUUCUAGUUUUGGCAUGACUGCAAUCCCCAUAGUCCACUCCUCUAGCCAUAGCAUUGAUUUCAGGUGCAACACCUUGAGGUUCGGAAAACCAUAAGAGCCACAAGUCAGCUUUCUACCUGAAUACGAGUUUUGCUUCAGUUUGAGCACUUGAAGAAGCGGCAGCUUUUCUAGUGCCGGCAUGGGAUCAUCCAUUAGGUCAGUAUUAGAAAAACUCACGUGGGUUAGACUAUGAGGAAAUAGGUAUUCAGCAAGGACGAUUUUGUAGAGCCGUGGCAUCUUGCUUUUAUUUUCCAGCUUCAAUGACUCGAGAUUGCUCAAUCCGCAGAGACUUUUGGAUAACAAAGAUUGAUAAUAACUAAAAUCUCCCCGUAUCUGGAGAUUUCAAAGAUUAGGUAGUCUGGCCAGUAUAUCUUCAGUACAGCAGCAAGGAUUCAAGGCUGAAAUGAAAUUGAGAUUUUCCAGAGAGCCGCAAUAUUUUCCUGGAUGCGCAGGAAGUGUGAUUGAGCCAAAAUUUAGAUGCCUGAGUUUGUUCAUAUUCCAAAAUUCAUCUGCUGUAUGAUCUAUGUAGCUAAAGGGCAUGUCUAGGGUGUAGAGGUUCAGAAGAUUGCUAAAUAAUGAUGAAGGCAGGCUUUUGAGGGAAGGGAUAUUCAACUUCAAAUAUCUCAAAAGGAAUAAAAUUUCAAUUCCGAAUGGAUACUGGAUGAGAACAAGAGAUCACAAGUCCAAUACUUUGAGAAGUUUGAACAUUCCACAAAUUUUCUCCCAAUCCAUGGGGUCAAAGUGGCGGGUUUCUGGAGAGCAGAACAACAAAGACUGCAGUUGCAAGUCAUAAUCAUCUAAGCAAGCGAAAUCACCCUCUCUUUCAACAGCGUUUAACCGUUUGAAUUUUUUUGGUGAUUUACCUUCUGGAUCCAUGAAAGGGGAAGAGAUAAAUUCCACCAUAUAAGGAACUGACAUCAACACAGGAUGGCAACAGCUACGAAUAGAGCAUGUGUUGAUAGUGCCUGCAGCUUUUCUCUUCUUUGCUUCAACAAAGCCUCCCUUGAUUAGUUGUUCUAAGUAAUUCUCAGCAGUUGCCUCACUAUUGUCUAGGAUGAAACCUUCAGCUAUCCACAACUAAUAUAACUGCCUGGUGGAUAUCUCUAGGUGUGCGGGAAACACGGAUAAGUAGAGAAAACAAAGUUUCAAGCAAAAAGGUAACUUGCAACAUGUGAAGCCUACAAUCCCAACGGGUGUAUCCAAUACUUCCUCUAUAUUUUCUUCUAAUGAGAUGCUUCCAUGAUAUAAGAUGAGGAAAGGCCAUCCUUGGUAAGUAACUCUCAAUCGUCCUCCAGUGGGCACAAAAUCAAGCCGAAUGUUCUCUCCGUUUUCGAACUGAAAUGAGGUGACCAUCUCAAUUUGAGUGAGUGUUAUUAAUACUCGACUUCCAUUCUGAUUAUCUGGAAGUAUUUCUCGAAUAACAUCCAAUACAUCAGUGCUCCACACGUCAUCAAUCACAAUCAAAUACUGCUUGGUCAUUAGAUAUUCAUGAAGAAUGAUUUUUUUCAUUUCAUAAUUUUUAUCCUCUAUUUCACUCAACCUAGAUGAAGGCAUUAGAAACUUAAUAAUGAUAUCUAAUAUUUGGUCAGCUUCAUACGGAUAAGGCUCCCGAAUCCAAGUGUGACAAUCAAAAUAAUGCUUCGCAUAACUGCUGUUGUAAGCCUCUCUGGCGAAAGCCGUCUUGUCCAACCCAAUGCUAUCAAGUAUGACCACCACUGAAAGCUGAGGUGGUCCCUCAAUCAACAGAUCUAACAACUCCACCAUUCUAUCAUCUAGACCCACCAUUUCCCGGUUUUUAGAAGAUGAAAAUAUACCGGC